GGGCCACCUGGCAGCGGUGAAUGAGGCCGGGCGUCCUACUGAUGGACCCGAGGCAGGAACCUGUCCACACCCCACACAGCCGCUUCGCAAGCGCGGCCUGGUGCAAACGCGCAUUUGCUGGGACAACACAAAUUGUGUGAAUGUAAAAAGACCAAAAACUCUAAGAACACUGUUUUGGACACCGCCAUGGAUAAAGCACCUGUCACAGCACCCAGCAUCUACUGGUUUGCAAUGAGGGCCGUUAUUGGAGCUUAACUAAUCAGGCAGCACACGUGAACUUGCUAGUGACCCUGGUUCACCAGACCUCUGUGCCAGGCUGAUGCUAGGAACAGAACUGCUGGAUUAGUCGUCGUCAUCCUCCUCCUCCUUCUAGUCCUAGAGGACCCCAUCUAGCCCUGACCUCUCUGCUACAUGGCUCUCAGGCCAGCCUCCAAACAACCACCUCCAUCUCCAGGCUUAAAAAACAAAAACAAAAACAAAAAAACAGUAAAAGUAAAAACUUUUGUCCAAACCAAAUUC